rnacentral:rRNA from 1 species
CCAGACUCCUACGGGAGGCAGCAGUGGGGAAUAUUGCACAAUGGGGGAAACCCUGAUGCAGCAACGCCGCGUGAGUGAAGAAGUAUUUCGGUAUGUAAAGCUCUAUCAGCAGGGAAGAAGAUGACGGUACCUGAGUAAGAAGCCCCGGCUAACUACGUGCCAGCAGCCGCGGUAAUACGUAGGGGGCAAGCGUUAUCCGGAUUUACUGGGUGUAAAGGGAGCGUAGACGGUGAGACAAGUCUGAAGUGAAAGCCCGGGGCUCAACCCCGGGACUGCUUUGGAAACUGCCUGACUGGAGUGCUGGAGAGGCAAGCGGAAUUCCUGGUGUAGCGGUGAAAUGCGUAGAUAUCAGGAGGAACACCGGUGGCGAAGGCAGCAUGCCGGCUUCCGACUGACGCUGAAGCACGAAAGCGUGGGGAUCGAACAGGAUUAGAUACCCCAGUA